AGUGAACGCUGGCGGUAGGCCUAACACAUGCAAGUCGAACGGCAGCACAGUAAGAGCUUGCUCUUACGGGUAGCGAGUGGCGGACGGGUGAGGAAUACAUCGGAAUCUACUUUUUCGUGGGGGAUAACGUAGGGAAACUUACGCUAAUACCGCAUACGACCUACGGGUGAAAGCAGGGGAUCUUCGGACCUUGCGCGAUUGAAUGAGCCGAUGUCGGAUUAGCUAGUUGGCGGGGUAAAGGCCCACCAAGGCGACGAUCCGUAGCUGGUCUGAGAGGAUGAUCAGCCACACUGGAACUGAGACACGGUCCGGACUCCUACGGGAGGCAGCAGUGGGGAAUAUUGGACAAUGGGCGCAAGCCUGAUCCAGCCAUACCGCGUGGGUGAAGAAGGCCUUCGGGUUGUAAAGCCCUUUUGUUGGGAAAGAAAAGCAGCAGGUUAAUACCCCGCUGUUCUGACGGUACCCAAAGAAUAAGCACCGGCUAACUUCGUG
rnacentral:rRNA from 1 species